CCCACUUUCUCUCUCCACUUUCUUUCUCUAGAAUUAUUUUUCUUCCUAUGAAGUUUUCUCUCUCUAAAGUUAGUCUAGGAAGGACUUUCUUUCAAUAAUUUUGAUUGAGCUUAGUCAAGGGUCGUGAUCUAUGGUCGUCGGACAACAUACCGGUAUUCAUCUUGACCAGAUCAAGAUACCAUUAAAUUUGAUCACCCAUGAUUUCUAUCAAAUUUUUUGUACAUUAAUGUAAUCAUGAUUUGAUAAAAUCACCUUGAUCGGGCCGAUCGGGAUGUCAAAAAUUGUUGACUGAUCACCAUGUCCCAUUUUGUUAAUUUCUC
rnacentral:lncRNA from 1 species